rnacentral:rRNA from 1 species
UACGUAGGGUGCAAGCGUUGUCCGGAAUUAUUGGGCGUAAAGAGCUCGUAGGCGGUCUGUCACGUCGGCUGUGAAAACACGGGGCUCAACUCCGGGCUUGCGGGCGAUACGGGCAGGCUAGAGUUCGGUAGGGGAGACUGGAAUUCCUGGUGUAGCGGUGGAAUGCGCAGAUAUCAGGAGGAACACCAAUGGCGAAGGCAGAUCUCUGGGCCGUAACUGACGCUGAGGAGCGAAAGCAUGGGGAGCGAACAGG